rnacentral:tRNA from 1 species
GGGGAGAUAGAUCGUAAUUAGUAGCGGGGCGGACUGUAAAUCCGUUGCCUUCGGGCCUUUCUGGUGCAAGUCCAGCUCUCCCCA